rnacentral:rRNA from 1 species
UUAUACAGCGAAACUGCGAAUGGCUCAUUAAAUCAGUUAUCGUUUAUUUGAUAGUACCCUACUACAUGGAUAACCCGUGGUAAUUCUAGAGCUAAUACAUGCUAAAAAUCCCGACUUCGGAAGGGAUGUAUUUAUUAGAUUAAAAACCAAUGCCCUUCGGGGCUUCCUGGUGAUUCAUAAUAACUUCUCGAAUCGCACGGCCUUGCGCCGGCGAUGGUUCAUUCAAAUUUCUGCCCUAUCAACUUUCGACGGCUGGGUCUUGGCCAGCCGUGGUGACAACGGGUAACGGAGGGUUAGGGCUCGACCCCGGAGAAGGAGCCUGAGAAACGGCUACUACAUCCAAGGAAGGCAGCAGGCGCGCAAAUUACCCAAUCCCGACACGGGGAGGUAGUGACAAUAAAUACUGAUACAGGGCUCUUUUGGGUCUUGUAAUUGGAAUGAGUACAAUUUAAAUCCCUUAACGAGGAACAAUUGGAGGGCAAGUCUGGUGCCAGCAGCCGCGGUAAUUCCAGCUCCAAUAGCGUAUAUUAAAGUUGUUGAGGUUAAAAAGCUCGUAGUUGAACCUUGGGCCUAGCCGACCGGUCCGCCUCACCGCGUGCACUGGUUCGGUUGGGUCUUUCCUUCUGGAGAACCUCAUGCCCUUUACUGGGUGUGUUGGGGAACCAGGACUUUUACUCUGAACAAAUUAGAUCGCUUAAAGAAGGCCUAUGCUCGAAUACAUUAGCAUGGAAUAAUAGAAUAGGACGUGUGGUUCUAUUUUGUUGGUUUCUAGGACCGCCGUAAUGAUUAAUAGGGACAGUCGGGGGCAUCAGUAUUCAAUUGUCAGAGGUGAAAUUCUUGGAUUUAUUGAAGACUAACUACUGCGAAAGCAUUUGCCAAGGAUGUUUUCAUUAAUCAGGAACGAAAGUUAGGGGAUCGAAGACGAUCAGAUACCGUCGUAGUCUUAACCAUAAACUAUGCCGAUUAGGGAUCGGGCGGUGUUAUUUUUUGACCCGCUCGGCACCUUACGAUAAAUCAAAAUGUUUGGGCUCCUGGGG